rnacentral:rRNA from 1 species
UACGGGGGGGGCAAGCGUUGUUCGGAAUUACUGGGCGUAAAGGGCGCGUAGGCGGCCUUCUAAGUCGAACGUGAAAUCCCCGGGCUCAACCCGGGAACUGCGUCCGAUACUGGCAGGCUUGAAUCCGGGAGAGGGAUGCGGAAUUCCAGGUGUAGCGGUGAAAUGCGUAGAUAUCUGGAGGAACAUCUGUGGCGAAGGCGACACCCUGGACCAGCACUGACACUGAGGCACGAAAGCGUGGGGAGCAAACAGG